AUUGAACGCUGGCGGCAGGCCUAACACAUGCAAGUCGAACGAGCGGCGGACGGGCGAGUAAUGGCUGGGAAACUGCCUGAGGGAGGGGGAUAACUACUGGAAACGGUAGCUAAUAUCGCAUACCAUCAGAUGUGCCCAGAUGGGAUUAGCUUGUUGGUGGGGUAACGGCUCACCUAGGCGACGAUCCCUAGCUGGUCUGAGAGGAUGACCGGCCACACUGGAACUGAGACACGGCCCACACUCCUACGCGGGGCAGCAGUGGGGAAGAUUGCACAAUGGGCGCAAGCCUGAUGCAGCCAUGCCGCGUGUAUGAAGAAGGCCUUCGGGUUGUAAAGUACUUUCAGCGGGGAGGCGUUACCCUCAGAGGAGGCACCGGCUAACUCCGUGCCAGCAGCCGCGGUAAUUC
rnacentral:rRNA from 1 species